UUCACUCUGUGAUAGGGUUGGAUCCUAUAUGCUACUUUUACUGUCCUGUAAAUGGUUCAGUGCCUAUAAUUUAGGCUGCGUGUAGAACGGGGCAUAAAGGAAAUGACCUCUGCUUAUAAAUUACUAGAUUUUAGUGAUAAGGAAAACAGCAUACACGUGGCUUGUGUAUUCAUUUGCCUAUAACUAAUCAUAAUUCCAUUAUUUUUACAUUAAAAAAAAGAGAAUACUUCAAAGUGACAAGAUCCUGCCAUGGAAAAGACAACUGGGCGGAAAAAGUGUAAAGGAGGGGAAAUAACUCACACCAUGCAGCAGGACACCUUCCGCUGUGGGGUCUUUGAAAUGGAGGUUUGAUAGUUAUAUUUCCAAUAAUGAAUGGUUAGCUGUUGUGACAAUUAGGUAACAUUUAUUUUUUUGGUGUAGAUGGCCAAGGAAGUUGCACAGAACUUCCAACAUCCCCACCCAAAUUGAUAUGGAACCUUCAAAAACACAUGGAGCAACUGCGAAAAGAAAUGGCUGAGGAUAUACAAAAAAUGUCUGAGUUCAACAAAGCCAACAACUGCUUCAUGUGCGCCACUGAUAAAGAACCUGGAUGUGGCCCAAAGACUGACUGGGAAUGAAGACAAGAGUUCAACAGAGUAAAGAACAAACUGGAAGUGCAGUCUUUGUUGUUGAAAAUGUAUGCUAUACCCCAUCCACACUGAAGAGGCUCUGAAAUGUACAUCAACCAGGGAUAAAGAGAAAGUUAACACUGAAAUGUUUCAUACUUAAUUGAAGUUAAGUGUCUGUUGACAUGCUGGAAAAGAUUAAAGGUCUACA